AACCCCAAAUUCUUGUUCACUAGUACUAAUCAAUGCUCUCUCUUUAUUCUUACAGCAUUUAUGCAAGGGCUGAGUAUGUGUUUUGGAGGGAAAAGACUGGCUUUGGAAACAUACUUGGAGAGGAAGGCAUGAUCUACAAUGAGAACAAAGAAAGCUGCCUGAACAACUGAGGAAAACAGAAAAGUAAGAAAGAAGCUUCUCUGAAUAGAAAAUGACAACAUUCAGUUGAAAAGAAAUUGUUAAACAGGGAAUGUCAAUACUAGCAAUUAAAG
rnacentral:lncRNA from 1 species